AACGAACGCUGGCGGCAUGCCUAACACAUGCAAGUCGAACGAGACCUUCGGGUCUAGUGGCGCACGGGUGCGUAACGCGUGGGAACCUGCCCUUAUGUUCGGAAUAACUCCCCGACAGGGGUGCUAAUACCGGAUAAUGUCUUCGGCCCAAAGAUUUAUCGCCUUUGGUUGGGCCCGCGUUGGAUUAGCUAGUUGGUAGGGUAAAAGCCUACCAAGGCGACGAUCCAUAGCUGGUCGGAGAGGAUGAUCAGCCACACUGGGACUGAGACACGGCCCAGAAUCCUACGGGAGGCAGCAGUGGGGAAUAGUGGAAAAUGGGCGAAAGGAUGAUGCAGCAAGGCCGGGUGAGUGAUGAAGGCAGUAGGGUUGUAAAGCUCUUUUAACCGGGAUGAUAAUGACAGUACCGGGAGAAUAAGCUCCGGCUAACUACGUG
rnacentral:rRNA from 1 species